UCUACGUUGUCAGUACAUGGAUGGGGAGUUUUGCAGCGUGCAGCAUGUUGUAUCACCUGUUGCUGCAGACAGUAAAGACACUACAGUCAGCAGGUGUAUCACCCGGUCAGCCUCACCUCCUACAGUAUAAUCUUAAUGACGGUGAAGACGUGGAGAAGGCCGUCAACGACUUGUCACAGGCGGCGAUAGGAGAGUCGUUGUACGUCAUCGCUGAUGAAGCGGGUCCUGAGUACAUAUCAAAGAGUUUCCAGACUUUCUGUGAGUUGCUGCUGACACAAGUUCCUCAUCUCCAUCUGUGGGCGGCAAGUUGUUUCCAUGGACACGCACCCGCCGGCUGGCAAGUGGAAUGCUUAACCAGACCCCUCCGCUCUACACCGGUUGUCGUCAGGGAAGUCGAGCAGGACGAGUGGAUCACUAGACACCGUCUUGUCUUGCCGUACAGAGAGCGAGGUGGGCCCGACCACACAGACGGCCCGCCAGUCACUCGACUGUAUCACCGAGGUCAGGGUCACUCAGGUCGCAGGCCAGGUGACUGUAUCACGUGCGGUCGUGAGGUGGCCACCUUCCUACACAGUCUCCGUGAUGGUGCUCGGGCACAAAUCUUGACAACAUCCACCCUUGAAGGCCCCACAUCGUCACCUAAACUGCAGUGGAGAGACAUGCUGGUGUUGUGCUGGGGACAGGCUACAAUGGACAUGGGUAUGAUCACAGGACUGCAAGAAGCGGGUAUCCCAGUGCGGGUGAUGACGGACGAUGACAUCGAGGACGUGGCCACGGCCCGCAGUGACGUGGUGUGGGUUGUCGAUACUAAUGGUGUUCGUGGUCUGGAGAGAAAAGUCGUCGUCUGCGUUGAACUUGAUCCCACUUUUAAUAUUUUGUCCAGCCCUGCCCGACUCCUGUCCAUGUCCCGUUGUACAUCACAACUUGUAAUUGUCUUCGCUACUGACUAGCCCCCAGUACAAUAAAUCACCUCGAAGCUGAUGAAUGUGAUAAAAAACCAGCCGACCACACUGGCUGCUGUACUAACUGUAGCUCGAUAGACGCCUUAAUGCAGCUUUACUUGAGCACAUAAUUUUUUAAUGGUUUUACUACAGAAAUGGGGAAACGUGACAUCAUUUGUCAUCGACCUAGUUUAUCGAGAAUGACUGACUGUCAGGGUUCUAGACCACGUGCACAUUUGACUACGAGAUGAAAUCAGCGUCAACACGAUUCUAGCAUUUUACUCUUGGCUCAUCUUGACUUUUAAGUGGUGCUUUACAACAACAACAGCAUAAACAACAACAACAACGCAUACAAAGAUUUUGUUAAAUGACAAUCUUAUGUGGCCAUAGAGCAAAAGUGACUGGCCAGGUGAUUGUGUGACGUGCGGUCGUAAGGUGGCCAGCUUCCUACACAGUCUCCGUGUUGGUGCUCUGGCACAAAUCUUGACAACAUCCACCCUCGAAGGCACCACAACACCACCUAAGCUGCAGUGGAGAGACAUGCUGGUGUUGUGCUGGGCACAGGCUAGAGUGAACAUGGGUAUGAUCACAGGACUGCAAGAAGCGGGUAUCCCAGUGCGGGUGAUGACGGAUGAUGACAUCGAGGAAGUCGCCACGGCCCGCAGUGACGUGGUGUGGGUGGCGGAUACUAAUGUUGUUCGUGUCUGGAGAGAAAAGUCGUCGUCUACGUUGAACUUGAUCCAACUUUUAGUAUUUUGUCCAGCCCUGCCCGACUCCACUCCAUGUCCCGCUGUACAUCACAACUUGUAAUUGUCUCCCCUGCUGACUAGUCUUCAGUAUAAUUAAUCACCACUAAGCUGAUGAAUGUUAUUU
rnacentral:misc_RNA from 1 species